rnacentral:rRNA from 1 species
CUACGUGCCAGCAGCCGCGGUAAUACGUAGGGCGCGAGCGUUGUCCGGAAUUAUUGGGCGUAAAGAGCUUGUAGGCGGUUUGUCGCGUCUGCUGUGAAAGGCCGGGGCUUAACCCCGUGUAUUGCAGUGGGUACGGGCAGACUAGAGUGCAGUAGGGGAGACUGGAAUUCCUGGUGUAGCGGUGGAAUGCGCAGAUAUCAGGAGGAACACCGAUGGCGAAGGCAGGUCUCUGGGCUGUAACUGACGCUGAGAAGCGAAAGCAUGGGGAGCGAACAGGAUUAGAUACCCUGGUAGUCCACGCCGUAAACGAUGAGUGCUAGGUGUUGGGUCCUUUCCGGGACUCAGUGCCGCAGCUAACGCAUUAAGCACUCCGCCUGGGGAGUACGACCGCAAGGUUGAAACUCAAAGGAAUUGACGGGGGCCCGCACAAGCGGUGGAGCAUGUGGUUUAAUUCGAAGCAACGCGAAGAACCUUACCAGGUCUUGACAUCCCUCUGACCGCUCUAGAGAUAGAGUUUUC